rnacentral:rRNA from 1 species
GAAUUUAAUAUAAUUUUAUUUAAUUAAAUUUAUUAAAAUAAAUAGAAUAGAAUAAAAUUAUAUUUUAUUGGGACGAUAAUUAAAUAUUUAUAUCUUUAAUUAAAAGUUUAAAGAUAAAUUAAUAAAUUAUUAGGAAUGGUUAGUAAAUUAAAUAAGAAUUAAUUAUCUUAGGGAUAACAACGUGAUAUUUUUGGAGAGUUCAUAUCAAUAAGAAUGUUUGC